rnacentral:misc_RNA from 1 species
GCCAGGCAUUCAUGUAAUCUCAAUUUAGCCCAAUUUAUGUCAUCAGCAAAGAUCAACAGAGGAGAAAAGAUUUUUCACUCGAGAUUAUAUUUUCUGGAACUAAUAUUUAGAUUUAAGACACAACUACUAGUUGAGGUUUGGCAUAGAAACAUUGGGUUAUUGAUCAAAUAGAACUUACAAGAGCAGACGAGGAGAAAAUAAGAUUUACAUUAGCAGAGGACAUAAAGCCGAAAGCCUUAACUCAUUACAUUCCAAAAAUAAAUCUAAUCUAUUCUUAAAUCAUCUCCUGUGGGGAUUGUGCAAUG